GUUUUCCCUGUCCUGGCCGCUUGUUGGAACUCGUCGUAGGUCCCGCGGCCCUCAGUGUCACAGCGUGGCCUUGGCUUAUGUGCCACAGCAGGAGCUAAGCGGGUCCUGGAACAGCUCUCCGAGAGGUGGAAGGGGCCCCGCCAGCUCUGGGGAGCAGCAGCCUUGGGCUGUUCGGAGCUUUAGGCACAAGAAGAGAAGCAUCUCUUGCAUCUGUGCCCCUGGGGGCCUCUUCAGCUUUGCAGUGGUUUAUAGGAAGACAUACCUCCCAGAGGGGCAUGAACUGCCACCAGGACUGACCCCGGCGUCGGGAGAAGGACACUUGCAGAGCCUUGAGAUCACCUGGAUUUUGGCAGGUCCUGGACUGGGGCCGGGCAGGCAGGGACAGGGAGGAGCCCCUGGUGGCUUUCGGGGCUGCAGCACUGCCACACAUCCUUUUCCUCCCGGCCCGCCCUGCUGGGGCACUACUGCCGUCUAUAGAUGGUGUCCCAGGCCUGGGAAACCAGGUUCCCAGGGGUUGAGACCAGAAGGUUGAUGAGCAGAGAACCCAGGACAGAUUUUAUAAGGUGCAGAAACUGCAGGGGGGCCUCAGUGACAUCCACGAGGCAAUAAGGCUAAUUGCCUUAUUUGCUAAUAAGAGCAAAGGACACCCAGACCUCCAAGGUUUGUGGGCCCCUGCCACAAAGCUGUAAGUCCCAGCCCGCCCACUGAGGGCCUUGCCCAGUGCUGUGGCCUGGUGGGGACACAGAUGCUCUGGCCACUCAGUGGAGCUGGGCCUGCAGCAGACUCAGGACUCCGAGUGCCCUGGGGGUCACCCCUCACAUCCCCUCCUCAGAGCCCACCCUGAGAGGCAGCAGUGACCCCCGUGGUACACACAUGCCAACAGCACUGGGGGCUUCUCCCCGGGAGACCACGCUGCCCUCCAAGACAAGGGGCAGCUGUGAGCUGGAGAUAGCAGAGGGACCCCAGGGAGUCCCCUGCAGACCCCACCAGGGCCGCAUCCGUCUCAGUUUGGGGGACAGUGAUGGGGCCCUCACCAUCCUCUUGAAUCUUGGCCCCCAUUUGCGCCCUGAGCUCCAAGAUAAGAAUGGCCGUGAGAGAACUGCUGAACAUCUGUUCAUUGCUGUCACCUCCUGAGUCACUGGGGUCCCUCAGCAGAACCUCCCUGACACCUGGGCUGUGGAGAGGUAGGUGCCUAUCAGUGACCAUCCUAAUGCCUCUCACUCACUCCUAACCCCCUGUUUGAGGGGGAGGGGUGUUGGUGCCUUGACGGGGCUGGGUAGGGUGUCCAAACUUGUGGCUUCCCAGGCACCUGCAGUGUGAACACUGCUUGACUGGCUCAGGGUUAGGGCUGCAGAGGGGGCUGUGCCACAAACCAGUUACUUAAGCAGCCCUGAGUGUCUCCAUGCCUUGGUGCGGGUCCUGGAGACCUCUUGGGGUGGGACCUUUGGGCAGGGUUUGCCCACUGAUGCGCCCGCCACCAUGGGCCCCUGGCUACAUGGGGCUUCUUGGACCCUAUAGACCCCGCAGACCCC
rnacentral:lncRNA from 1 species